GCUGGCGGCGUGCCUAAUACAUGCAAGUCGAGCGGAAUGAUGAAGAAGCUUGCUUCUUCUGAUUUUAGCGGCGGACGGGUGAGUAACACGUGGGCAACCUGCCCUGUAGACUGGGAUAACAUCGAGAAAUCGGUGCUAAUACCGGAUAAUUGUUGGAACUGCAUAGUUCUAACUUGAAAGAUGGCUCCGGCUAUCACUAUAGGAUGGGCCCGCGGCGCAUUAGCUAGUUGGUAAGGUAAUGGCUUACCAAGGCGACGAUGCGUAGCCGACCUGAGAGGGUGAUCGGCCACACUGGGACUGAGACACGGCCCAGACUCCUACGGGAGGCAGCAGUAGGGAAUCUUCCGCAAUGGACGAAAGUCUGACGGAGCAACGCCGCGUGAGUGAUGAAGGUUUUCGGAUCGUAAAGCUCUGUUGUUAGGGAAGAACAAGUGCCGUUCGAAUAGGGCGGCACCUUGACGGUACCUAACCAGAAAGCCACGGCUAACUACGUG
rnacentral:rRNA from 1 species